GUGCUCACUUCAGCAGAACAUAUACUAAAAUUGGAAAGAUACAGAGAAGAUUAGCAUAGCCCCUGCACAAGGAUGACAUGCAAAUUUAUGAAGCAUUCCAUUUUGUU
rnacentral:snRNA from 1 species